UACAGAGGAUGCAAGCGUUAUCCGGAAUGAUUGGGCGUAAAGCGUCUGUAGGUGGCUUUUUAAGUCCGCCGUCAAAUCCCAGGGCUCAACUCUGGACAGGCGGUGGAAACUACCAAGCUGGAGUACGGUAGGGGCAGAGGGAAUUUCCGGUGGAGCGGUGAAAUGCGUAGAGAUCGGAAAGAACACCAAUGGGCGAAAGCACUCUGCUGGGCCGACACUGACACUGGAGAGACGAAAGCUAGGGGAGCAAAUGGG
rnacentral:rRNA from 1 species